GCGCGGGUGGUUUAGAGGUUAGAAUUCUUGCUUCCCAUUUCUCAGAUCGUGAGAUAGCAAGGGACCCGGGUUCGAAUCCCGGCUCGCGCA